rnacentral:tRNA from 1 species
GCGGAAGUGGCGGAAUUGGCAGACGCACCAGCUUGAGGGGCUGGCGGUCGCAAGACCGUGGGGGUUCGAGUCCCCCCUUCCGCACCA